rnacentral:lncRNA from 1 species
CCUAAUGCUGUUGUUGUGCCGAUGGGCUGCUUGUGUUGUUUCCUUGCCACUGUUGCUGCUUAGUUGUCGCUGCUGCGCUAUGUGUUGCUGCUGCCCCAUGGUGUCGUUGCUCUGCUGCUGCCGCUGCCUUGCUCGCAAGCUGCUGCCGCUAGGAGCUGCUCCUAUGUGUGCUGUUGCCGCUAGAUGUGUGCGUAGGUGUGUGUAUGAGUCGGCCCUUCCUUAGCCUAGCUUAGGAUUAAAUUAGUGCUAAGUUAGUUUAGUAUUUGAUGACAUGUAGGCCCCCAUUAAAAAGUUAGAUUUAUUUAUUUGUUUAGGUAUAGCCUAUGACAUGUGGGCCACCCCUUCUCUAUUUGACUAGUCAUUUUGACUUGGACAAACUCGUAUUAAACAAUUUCAAAAAAUUAGAAAAUGUUUAUAUCUUUAUAAAUAAAUAUAAAACAAUUUGUAACUCGGAUGAAAAUACUUUGUACAUGAAAGUUGCCCAGAACGACGAGACGAAUCCGAAUACGCAGUCCGUUCGUUCGCCACACGUCCCUAGCAUACCGAACAUGCAACUAUCCCCCUCCGGUUCGUCUGUCCAAAUAUGCCAAACACCGGGAAUAUUUUCCUGGAUGUUUCCCCCUUCGCCAGUAGCACCUAAUACCGUGUUAGGUCACCCCUAGCACGGCGUAUUGCCUUGUUAUGUGAUGCGGCUUGAAGCUACGUUGAUAUUUUCCCGAAGAGGAAGGGAUGAUGCAGCACAUCGGCGGUAGGUAUUUCCCUCAGUGAUGAGACCAAGAUUAUCGAACCAGUAGGAGAACCAAGCAACACAACGUAAACAACCCCUGCACACAAAUAGCAAAUACUCGCAACCCGGCGUGUAAAAGGUUUGUCAAUCCCUUUCGGGUAGCGGCGCCUCAACAUAGGCAAACAGACGUGAAAUAAAUUGUAGUAGAUUGAUAGAUCGAACGUCAAAUAAAAUAAAUAAGAAUAAAAGGCAGCAAGGUAAUUUUUUAUUUUUGGUUUAAUAUAAAUGAAAAUAAAAGCAAAGGAAAAGUAGAUCGUAAAGGCAAAUAAUAUGAGAAAGUGACCCGGGGGUCGUAGGUUUCAGUAGUGGCUUCUCUCGAGAAAAAUAGAAAAAGGUGGGUAAACAAAUUACUUUCGAGCAAUUGAUAGAACUUUAAAUAAUCAUGACAAUAUCCAGGCAAUGAUCAUUACAUAGGCAUCACGUCCAAGAUUACGGGCUUGAACUGACGAUGCACUACAAUGGUGUCAAAUAGUUAACGGGCCGUUGACGGGCCGAAUUGGCACAUCUCGUAUGGGUCAUGGGCUUGAAUAGAACAGACACCAGUCGGCCCUAUAUAGGCCGGCCUGCUAAUUUUGACUGGGCCAGCCUCUUUCAUCUAAAUGGGCCACUGUUGGGCCUUGCCAUGUGCCAACGUAUCAUAGGCACCUCGUGUACAAGGAGUGGAUGACAUCUGUCCUAACGCUGAGCCGACACGUGGAUCCUCUGACUAAUGAGAAUUUUAAACGUGGAAAAUCCCCAUUGGUCGGGGCUGUUAACGGGUGAUCGGAUCCAAACCGGAACCCGAUAGCUUAACGGUCACCCGUUAUGGUGGAUGCCAUGUGUCGGUUACCCUUGAUGAAAACACUUCCAUGACGCGCCAUUUAUCAUCAUGGAAGUGGACACUUCCGUGAUGAUAAUUUUGGUAUUGUCAUGGAACACCUCUAUGACAACACAGGUAUGACUAUCUUGAUUCUGUCAUUAAAUCGCCAUGGAUGUACAUGCAUGACAGAAAACAUGACCUAUUGUGACAAACACAUAUCAUCAUGGAAGUGUAUUUUUUGUAGUGGGGGUAGGUUUGUAUCUUCAUCUAGACACCACGCAAGUGCCUCCAAAAAACAUUCAUACACCGUGGCCGCCUAAACACACAUGCGCUCGGCCGAAAUCGCCCCUGCCCACUAUUUGGGACACCUGGGAUUAUCGUCCUACCCCCGACCUGCGGUAGGUCCAAAAUUUAAGAGGGGGGAAAGUUUGUACUUUCCCCAAAUUUCAAACAAGUGUGUCCCAUCUGUUCAAAAAAAAACAAGCGCGUCCUAUACCGAAACAUGGUUCCCCCUUAGCUCCCCCCCCGUCCGAUUCCCCAUUCGUACUCUGUGGGCGCCAAAACUACCUCUCCACCAGCCGUGAAACCCCAACAUCCUCCGUCCGUCACCCCAUCCCACCCAUCAACCGCCGCCCUCCACCAUCACACCGGAACCGAUACACUGACAUCGUCGUCCACCGCAACCGCAACUGCAACGCCCUCCACGGCUAGUAGUUGAAGCCGAGGCCGAGCUGCCUCCAGGACACCGACGUGUGCUGUACCUGAGCUAAUUCAACCACGCCGUCUUGCGCCUCACCGUUGCCGCUCCAACGUCGCCACCGCCCAACACAUCGGAGCUAUUCCCACUAUAUCGUCCUUCGCCGCCUCGGGUCUGCUUCCCCUCCGCCCACAAACAGCCACCGCAACACAGUCACUAAUUUGGCCAUGGGUUCGUCCAAGGCUCCACCCUCCUCCAAAACAUCGGUUCCCCCUGUAAAAGUAGUGAGCUUGAUGAAACAACCAUCCAGACCUACAACAAAUAAAUGAAAUCACAAUUGAUUAGCACAUGAAAUCAAACAUUAGUAGCACUUAGCACAAAUAUUAUUGACUUACCUAUGAAUGGUCUGCAGCCAUUGAGAAACCCUUCUUUGCAUCCAUUCAAACAUAUGAACAGUGCAUGAAACCUAGGGUUAGUGCUUGGAUGCUCCUUCAGAUAUCUUGUUGUCACAAUGCAUCUUGAACCUAGAUUUGUAUCCAACACAGCCUGUAAAUAAUCCCUAAUCCUGGUGUACUGGGCUUUCUGGUCUCCUAACACAACAGCCUUUGCUGCCCUCUUUGCCCUGUAUGCCAUGUGUGUUGAUAUGUCCACACCAUACUUGCUCUUUGCAGUAUUAAUAAUACUUGUGAUAGUUGUGCAUGGGUCAUUUCUGAUAGCCUCCUCACAUAAUUUUGAAACCCACUUAGCAGAGACUUAAGUGUUCUCUGACAUAGAAGGGCAUGUGUGCACUAAAUACACCUUCCUAAUUGUAAAUGACAUCUCAUUUGCAAUCUGAGAAGCUGCUAUAUAGAAGGGACAUUGCUCAUCUAUGCAUUGUGCUAUCACCCUAUCACUGCAGUUUCUAUGGUAGACAAAGUUCCUGUUUUGAGCAAUGUGCAAGGUUUGAAGUGCAGUUCUAAACUGAUACACAUUUAAGAAGCAAAGAUGCUUCACAAAUUGCUCCUCUGGAUGAGCUCUGUGCUCAUCAAACCAUAACCUCUUCUUCAUCUUCUUUGCUCUGCUUUUUCUACCAUUGGGCAACACAUAUGACAAUGCCUCAGCACCAUCAUCAUCUUCCACACCAAGGUCUUGUGGUUUCUUGUCCUCAUCAGAUGAUGGAAUCCAGUCCUCCUCAAACAUGUGUUCUAUACUCCCAUGUGAAUUGCUUGUUGGGCCUUUUCUUUGUCCCUUGGCCCUUCUCUUGUUUGGUACAUCUUGCCCUAGCACAUCCUCUUGUUCCUCUUCCUCCAAUUCCUCCUCCUCUUCCUCCUCUACAUCCUCUUCUUCACCUUGUGGCACAUACAGCUCAUCAUCCACCUCUGAGUCACACAUUUCCUCAACAUCUGUGUCCCCUUCAAAAUGAAGUUCUGGGUCAUUCCUCUGUCUUCUCAUCUCCUCAAGCCUAGCUAAGAUAUCACCAUAUUCUACUAGAUCAUCAUCAUCACUAUCCUCUUCAAUGUCCAUCACUGCUGCUUUCCUGUUCAAACAAGUCUCCUGCACUAUUUCCUUGUUGUUCAAACAAGUGUCCUUCACACUUUCCUUCUUGUUCUUCCGAAACAUUUCAAUUUCAUUUCUCCUUUUCUCCUCCAUUUCUUGCUCUAUUAACAGUUUCUUCUCUGAACUAUCAGUCACAUGGUAUUCUUCCACUACUGCAGCACCUAAAGCAGGUUUGAGGCUCACAUUUAUUCUGCUCUGCUGUGUGUCAAACUGCAAGGGCAUUGCCUCUUGUUCUCCUCCUACAUCACAACUCUCAGCUUCUAUAUGCACAUUUUCAGCAUUGAACAACACUCCUUCAUCAUCAAUCUGAUACAGUUUGGGCUCUCCAAUUUGUUCUAUUGGGGUCUGCAUCUCAAUGACAUUAACACUAGUAUUUGUAUUGGGAACUUUCUCUGCACUGGCCCUAACUAUUGUCACAUUCAAUAUCUUGUUAUUCUUCUCUGCUAUGUGGUCUAAAAUUUCCUCUAACUUAUCAUCAUCAUCUAUUUCUUCCAUUCCUUCAAUCCCUAGCCCAGGUCCCUCACAUAAUACAUAUAAUCUCUAAAACCAUACCCUUCUGUCUCCAUCAGUGCUACCAAAUUGUAAUAUGUGAUGUCUGACAUCAUCAUACUCCUUUCAAUAUUAUCUCUAUCAUGAAAAUGCAUCCUCAAUUCCCAAACCUCAUCUUCAAGACUGCAAAUAAUAAUACAAUAGUGCACUAUAAGUACUUAAGGGAAACUGAAGCAAGCUAGUGCAGACCAGAGCAGAACAUCAUUUGAGUGCAACAAUUCAUAUCCUUUUAUUUACAAAAACCCUAGUUGUAAGCAUCUAAUUAAAGAACUAUAUCAUUCUAAUUACAGAACUAUAACACACACAAACCCUAGAACUACAUUAACCCUAACCCUAGCAACAGAAGGGGAAUGUGAUUGGGGAGGGGAAUGGGACUGGGAUCUCACUAGACGCUGCCGAAAGCUGAAGCAAUGUGCUGGCUUCCAAUUGGAUUUGCCUUCACCGCCGCGGCGAAAGAUCUGGCUGCCCUGAAUUCCACCGAGUACUGCGGGUCCUCCUCCUCCUCUUCUUCUACCAUCGCCUUCGUAGUGUUCAAGCUCCCGCACAUCUUGCCAGUGGACGGCUGGGUGCCGCUGCCAGCAUCGCUCGACUUCGCCGGACUCAUGGCUGCGACGGGGGGCGGGGAUGGUGUGCCGCUCGAUCGGGAACAGGGGAGAAGAAGGGAGAAACGGGGGAAGAAGACGGGGGAAACGAGGGAUAAGAGUAAACAGAACGAACGGCGCCGUCUAACGGCUGUCGGACCAGCUGACAGCGCCAUGUCGGCAAAAACUGGGCCCCACCUGUCAUAAAUCCACUUAUCAGUGUCCGAUCCGCCAAUCAGUGGUAUUGGCAAAUUGUUUACGGGAGAGUUGGUGUUUUUUUGCCAAGAAACUGUAACAUAAUGAUUUCUGCUAACCUAGCCCUCAAACUGGUGGUUUUCUGCAAUUUACUCUUUAAUGAAUAACUCUUGUUUUGGAACUCGCUUCCAUGGUUCACUACCCGAGAAUCUUACAAUGUCUUCUCGUCAAAUUGUGUUGCACGACACCAAUCAGAUCUGAACCUUGGUUAGAUAUGAUGGUUGGAACAUAUUUACAAGAGUUAUAACAUUGGUCUUUAUAUGACCCGAUAAGGUGAUAUCAUGCCUAGCACACUUGGCCGGAGGACCUAUUGUUAUAGUUUCCUUCUUAGCAAGGAUAUCCAUUCUUCCAUGAGGAAAUUGCGAGACUUAUUCUAUAAGUUGUUCCUGAUGGAUCCUUUGUGUAUCCAAAGUUUGAUCUUUACCUAGUGACCAUGUCAAUGCUAUCUCGAAGCAUGUCUGUGGUACUCCGUUCAUCAACAAGACAAUUGAAGCGCAAUGCUAAAUUUUUUCUUGAUCAAUUAUACAAACACUAUUGUUCGGGUAAUGUCAUGAAAUUCCUCUCCCCUUACCUAAAUGGUUUUGUACUUCUAUCCUGUCAUGGAUAUCAUGGUAUGUUUGUCGUUGGGAAGGAUAUACCACUGAAAUAUGUGUUUAAACACAUUUUCCUUUCCAUUGUUCUGUUUAAUUUGAUAAUCAUAUUAUCAUUUCCAUUGUUUGGUUUAACCUUUCUUGAGGUCUAUAUGAUAUAAGUAGUAAUAUUCUCCUGUUUAUAAACACCUGGUGUACAAUUCUGUCAGCAAGACCUUGUUCCUAUUGUUGAUGAUAUUCUGGUAGCCACCAAUGGCCGAGAACUUUGCCUAAUGGUCCGCCUCGUUCAACGAGCAGGAAAAUAGUUCUCCCCAUCCCUCGUCCUUGCUACCGACAUUGUUGCUGACAUAAAUGAUAGACUAUCCUCUGACAUGCCUUGUUGUCAUGACCGUGCAAUAUGGCAGCGCCCUUUCUACUUUUAACCCACAUGGUGGGCCCAUAACUCACAGUUCCAUAGGAUCGAAACCAUACUCUCUUGUACACCCCUGUUUCCAAAGUUAUUCCUCAUUCUUAGCUUUGUAUGUAAUUCGUGAGCUAAAUUCCUUACCAUGUUUCAUUCUGGAAUCAGAUGCAACAUGAUUCCUCAUUGAUCUGAACCCCUUGAUCAUCUGUUUUAAGCAUCAGCUGGAGGCCUACCUGAUUGAAACUCAUUGAACCUCCUUGUAUCACUCUCGAUAUGUUUCCUGGUGCUUCUAAAAUUUCCUUACCUGAGAUUAUUACCGGAUGUCAAUCCUUCCAGACAUCUGUCCUUAUAGUUUCCCCCUUCUACCUAUUCGUAAGUAUGAUGGGGUUGCCGAAGAAAGGAUGACGACUUCAUCAUGAUGACCUAAAAUAGAGAAAUGAAGACAUCAACGUAAUGGAUCAACCCCUUCGAUGAGUGCAAUAAGAACAAGAAGAUUCGUUAGAAUUUUGUAACCAAAUCUUUUCCGCUUACUCUACCUCUUAAAUCUCGGGACGAGAUUUCUUGUAGUGGAGGAGAUUUGUGACACCCUAGAUAAUUAGCUAUAGUGAACCCAUGCUAAUGGUGCCAUGUCAUCAUAAUUAUUUUUUUGCUAAACUUCACUUUGAUCCCAACCUAGUUCAAAUUCAAAUUUGAAACAAAGUCAAAAUAAUAUUUCUCUAAACAGUGAAGCAAAAUGUGUACAUUAUGUUAUAAAAUCCCCAAGUAAUUUUCUUGAAGGAACCAAUGUCUUUUAAAUUCUGAAAAUGCCCUUAGCUUUAUUGAAAGCGGGCCAACAACAAUUAAAUUGGUUCUUUUAAAAUAAACAAAUGUUUAUACUUUUCCAAAUGGCUUGAGACUUUUUGCGCAUGUUCAUGAUGAUGCAUACUAUUUAUGUACCAAUAUUUAUAAAUAACAAAAUUUAGUUAGUAGUUAUUGAAAAUAGAAAAGAGAGGAGAAAAAUGAAACAGAAAAUAGAAAAAAGGAAAAGGGAAUGAAACUACUGUGCAACUGGGCCUUUAGUGGCCUCGGUGCACUGUGGCCCAGCCCAACUAGGGCAUCCCUAACAUCUCGCUAUAGUGGGAGGCAGGGCAACCGUGGCGGCCAUCCCACGGCGCUGCCGGACGUGCCGGCUAUCUACCACUUCUCGACGACCUACAAGUCCUCCCCGACCCCCCCUUGACGAACCCUAGCCUAAAAAUCCCCUCCCCCUCGCUCGUUUUCCUCUCCCCGCACAUAGCCGAGCGCAGCGUCAUCAUCGCGGCGUCAAUCCCACGGCCACGUGCCUCCCCGUGCCAAACCACCAAGUCCAGGAGGCUGUCCGCAGUCGUCUCCUUCGUCUACUCCGAAGUGCCCGAGCCUGAACGCCCCAAGCGCUCACCAUCGGGCCUCUUCCCCGCAUCCAGCCGCCGCUGCCCCGCCCCAGAUCUCCUCCCUCAGUGCUCCCCCAACCUCCCGAGCACCUCAUCGAGAAAUUCAGUGAGGCCGUCGUCCAAUUCCCCUUCUUCCCCCUGAGAAUUUGUGCCGUAGCUGCUGCCCUUGAGUUCGCCCGGAGCUCCGCGUUCCCGCUCGCCUCUGGCCGCGCUCACCGUGCCCAGCCCGCGACCUGGGCUCCCCCCUGCCGUGCCCGCGCGCCCAAGACAUCCCCUGGCCGCGUCCGCCUGGGCGUGCUGUGCCGGCUGCGCGCGCCCAUCACGCCACUCGCUCGGCUGCCCAUACUGCUGCUUUUGCAGCCGUGCCUAAUGUUGUUGUUGUGCCGAUGGGCUGCUUGUGUUGUUUCCUUGCCACUGUUGCUGCUUAGUUGUCGCUGCUGCGCUAUGUAUUGGUGCUGCCCCAUGGCGUCGUUGCUCUGCUGCUGCCGCUUCCUUGCUCGCAAGCUGCUGCCGCUAGGAGCUGCUGCUAUGUGUGCUGUUGCUGCUAGAUGUGUGCGUAGGUGUGUGUAUGAGUCGGCCCUUGUUUAGCCUAGCUUAGGAUUAAAUUAGUGCUAAGUUAGUUUAGUAGUUGAUGACAUGUAGGCCCCCAUUAAAAAGUUAGAUUUAUUUAUUUGUUUAGUUAUAGCCUGUGACAUGUGGGCCACCCCUUCUCUAUUUGACUAGUCAUUUUGACUUGGUCAAACUCGUAUUAAACAAUUUCAGAAAUUUAGAAAAUGUUUAUAUCUUUAUAAAUUAAUAUAAAACAAUCCGUAACUCGGAUGAAAAUACUUUG